rnacentral:rRNA from 1 species
UAAUACAGAGGGGGCAAGCGUUGUCCGGAGUUACUGGGCGUAAAGCGCACGUAGGCGGUCCGGCAAGUGGUGUGUGAAACCAAUCAGCUUAACUGAUUGACGCCAUGCCAAACUGCAGGACUCGAGUCAUGGAGAGGUAGUUCGAAUUGCUGGUGUAGUGGUGAAAUGCGUAGAUAUCAGCAGGAAGACCAAGGGAGAAAUCAGACUACUGGCCAUGAACUGACGCUCAGGUGCGAAAGCGUGGGAGCGAACUGGAUUAGAUACCCAGGUAGUCCACGCCGUAAACGAUGUAUGCUCGGUAUUUGGGCCUGUUAAGGGCUUGGGUACCUUAGGUAACCCGGUAAGCAUACCGCCUGGGAAGUACGAACGCAAGUUUAAAACUCAAAGGAAUUGACGGGGCCCCGCACAAGCAGCGGAGCGUGUGGUUUAAUUCGAUGCAACACGAAGAACCUUACCUGGGUUUGACAUGGACCUGCACGGCCAAGAGAUUGGUCAGCUUACGAAGGUGGUCCAC